ACGACCUUACUUGAACAGAAUCUGUUUUAUAGGCUCGUACCUCUGUAUCCUAAGUUCUAAGGAGACAGGAUUCCAAGUCUGGUUGAUGAACCGAGACUGUGUGAUCAGAGCGUGAUUAUUAAUCCAGGAGUCUAAGCGAUGUGGCUUCUUCGAUCGCAGAGGAUCGUUCACGGUCUGCCUCGUCUGGCCGGAGUGGUCACGCAGUUGUCUGACAGACU